UACGUAGGGGGCGAGCGUUGUCCGAAGUUACUGGGCGUAAAGCGCGCGUAGGCGGUCCUUUAAGUCCGGGGUGAAAGGUUCAGCGCUCAACGUGAACAGUGCCCUGGAGACUGGGGGACUUGAGUGUGGGAGGGGGCAGUGGAAUUCCUGGUGUAGAGGUGAAAUUCGUAGAUAUUCGGAAGAACACCAGUGGCGAAGGCGACUUACUGGACACAUAUUGACGCUGAGGUGCGAAAGCGUGGGGAGCAAACAGG
rnacentral:rRNA from 1 species